rnacentral:tRNA from 1 species
GUGGCCGUAGUUCAGCUGGUUAGAGCGUCAGAUUGUGGUUCUGAAUGUCGUGGGUUCGAAUCCCAUCGGCCACC